rnacentral:rRNA from 1 species
AAGCUCGUAGUUGAAUUUCGGGGUUCUACCGUCGGUCGGGCUACCAAGUCUGUACUGGUGUGUAGAAUUUCUACCUUCUGGGGAACCAUCAUGUUAUUAAUUUAGCGUGGUGGGAAACCAGGACCUUUACCUUGAAAAAAUUAGAGUGUUCAAAGCAGGCUUAUGUCUGAAUACAUUAGCAUGGAAUAAUAGAAUAGGACGGUGGUCCUGUUUUGUUGGUUUCUAGGAUCGACGUAAUGAUUAAUAGGGAUAGUUGGG